UACGAAGGGGGGCUAGCGUUGCUCGGAAUCACUGGGCGUAAAGGGUGCGUAGGCGGGUCUUUUAAGUCAGGGGUGAAAUCCUGGAGCUCAACUCCAGAACUGCCUUUGAUACUGAAGAUCUUGAGUUCGGGAGAGGUGAGUGGAACUGCGAGUGUAGAGGUGAAAAUUCGUAGAUAUUCGGAAGAACACCAGUGGCGAAGGCGGCUGUCUGGUCCGGUUCUGACGCUGAGGCGCGAAAGCGUGGGGAGCAAACAGG
rnacentral:rRNA from 1 species